rnacentral:tRNA from 1 species
AAUUUUUUAGUUUAAAAAAAACACCUAAUUGCAAGUUAGUAAAUUACAAGAGUAAAAAAUUU